UUAACCUAAAAACUCUUAACUUUUAUCAAACCUAAAUCUACCUUCAAGUCUCAUCUCCCUCACUACUCAUAGAAGUAAAAACCCUAAAUCCCUUAAAUUUUCAUACUUCUCUCAAAGGCAUUUUUUUGGUUUGGAAAAAAUAUCAAGUUGAAAAAUUGCUACCCAUCUUACCACAAGUAAGCACACUUUCUUUUUCUAUACAUCUUCUGGGCUAACCUUUUGUUAUUGUUUCUCAAUAACCCAUUUUUGCAGGUUUGUGAAAUCUUUAUUUUUUAAUUUUUUUUGUUGGUAGAAAUUGAUUGCUAGUCAGCAAAUAUUUUUACAAUCAAUUUCUUUUCUAGAUUAUAUUUGCUUGGGUGUCCCUUUGUGAAUUGUUUGUAAAAGCCUAUGCUUUGUUUGUUUUUUUUUUUCCUUCAAAUUUGUUCUUCCACUGCUAUAAUCUCUGUUCUUAUAUUUGAAACUUACGCUUAGAAUAAUUUUUGGUUUUAUUCAAGUUGGAGUAAGGAUUUGUCUGCAAUUGUUUAUGUUCCAUAAAAAUUCUGAUCUUUACUUCAUUUUGUUUAAAUUGUUUGUGAGUGUAUUUCUAUGUUUCAGUCCCUUUUUAGUAGGAAUUUAGUAUUAGAUUUUAGCGAAUUUUUUCCCUUUAGCAGUAAAUAUUCGAAUACAAUACCUGAUGCCUAGUGUUGUGCUUCUCUUUUAAGCGGAAUGAUGUGUUCUAUCUUGUUGUAAAGCUAUCCUAGAUGAAAUUUUUUAUUGCUGUUGCAAAUGACAUUGUUGGUACUCUUGCAACUAGUGCGUUACUUGGCUUAAAAGUUGUGUUUUAGCUGCAACUAAUAGUGAGACUGCUGCAACUAGUCUCAACUAGUAAAUAUCACUAUUACAACCUGUAAGACUUCUCUCAAUAGGCGAACAUCUAAUAAUUAGACUACAACAACUAGUAAGAUCAUCUUAAUGUAAUUUGCAGUUGCUGGCUUACAUUCUUUUUUUUAGCUUUUCACUGUAAGUGCUAUGUUAAAUUUUUGGUCUUUAUUGGAUUGAAGAGGUACAAAUUGCUUAAUGUGUUAGUAAGUUUAAAAAACUUGUUUAAUGUAAUAUUUAGCUAAUUUUUCUCCACUUCUCUAACUUUUAGUAAACUAGUCUAGGAGUUAUCUUUAUUUUUUAAUGUCCUUGGAUCAAAGGAGUUAAGGAGGGAAGACUUGGAGCAAAUUGAAGCCCAAAUUCCUCUAACUCUUUGCAAGUUAGAAAGAAUAUUACCUCCAUCAUUUUUUGAUAUUAAAGAGGAAAAGCUAAAUCACAUGUGGGCAGCUAUUGAGGUAACAAAUAUGUCCAAUUUGCUUAUAAGCUAUUUGUUACAACUCAAAAUACAUUUCCAGAACCUUACAAUUUUUUAUGCUAAAGUAGUUUUAUGAUUUUCUUUUCUAUGUUUUAUCAUUUCUUUGCUAAAGUUCUUAUGAUAUGUUUAAUUUAUUGUAGGAUAAAUUUGAGAGCGAUGACCUAGAUAUUCAUCGCAAUCAUAUUUUGGGAUGGAUGAAAGAAUUGUGGAACAAAUGAAGAGGACAAUUGCAUGCAAAGUACGUGAGGGGUAAACCAAUCCAAGAGGCUCUUAAGAAUAUACCAAAGGGGGUAGACAAGAAACAAUGGGAGUGGUUGGUAAAAGAAUAUUUUUGUACAGAAAGUUUUCAGGCAAAAAGCAACAGGAAUGCAGCAAACAGAGCUAAGUUGAAGAUGCCUCAUCAUAUCGGCAGCAAGCCUAUUAGAGAAAUUAUUUAUCAAAAAGGCGAAAAAGAUGGCAAUCCACCAGAUUUGGCAACUAUUUUUUUUUAGACUCGCAAGAAGAACAACGAACUUGUUGAAUCUGAGACAAUUAUAAAACAUGCUCAAAUUCAAGAAUUGGUGCAGUCCGAACCAUCUCUUCCCAAUAUAGAGAUAGUGGAAAAAUACUUUGGACCUCAAACCCGUAGUCAUGUAUUUGGUUUUGGGGGUGGAGUAAAAGCAAAAGACUUAAAAGAUGGCGGUUCCUCGAAGGCCGAAUUAAGAUCCGAGUUACGUUCUUCUCUAGAUCAAAAUGAGUCAUUGAAGGAUCGGUUGUCUACUGUAGAAAAUGAGGUGAAAGAACUGAAGGAACUAAAAGAAUUUUUCUUGAGCCAACAGUCUAAUGUCCACCCUCCGGUGGCUCAACACGCUAAUGUCCAGCCUUCGACAUCACCAUAUCAGGAGAAUGACCAUUGAUAAACAUACCAACCUCGUUUACAUUGCUAUUUUAUUUUUGAAGUGUAUAUAUAUUACACUUGAUGAAUUUGGACACCUUUUCAGGUUAUCAAGAUGCGGGUUUUGAAGACAUAUAAUCAGUAGACCUUUGCUUUGCUAGGAAUAUUGGACAAAAUAUCAUAUUAAUUUUAGGGAUGUUAGCUAGAGGUACUUUUGCUAAAGGAGUGUCCAAAAAAUAUUUCACCAUGAUUGUACAAUGCUACUAAUUUUUUGUCAGUAAUUAUUAUAUAUGAAACCAUAUCUUUUUUUCAUUA